ACUCGCAGUCCGCAGGAUGACUCAGGGCAGCCCUGACCACAGUUCCGCCGCCAUCGGCCCUAGCCUGCGGAAUUGGGCUCGCCCCGGGACGAUAACAGAGCUCUGCCGGGGGCUGGAGGCACUGACCGGGUGACCAGAGACCCAGAGACCAGACCCCCUCCACGGCGCCCGGGAUUUCGGGGACGGCUUCUCCCAUCGCAAGUAGGGCUUGGACGGGAGGCGACAAAAGAGAACUUGGUCCGCACACAGCCACCGAAAUUGGAAUGAGGAGCUGUAGGGAGGCCCCGUAGCCAGCAGAAAAGCAUUGGGGUCCCUGGCUGGGUUAGCCCAGGUUUCUAGGAGUGUGGUAAGCGUCGAAUGACUUUUGUCCUUUUAAAGCACAUUAUGUUACUUUUUCCCCCAAGGUUUCAACAGAAAAUGAGAAAUAUCCCCCGACGAUUGGCUGAAAACAUGCAGCAACCACUAUUUUCUUCCUGCCCCUCGUUGAUGAGAGCAUUCGAAGUGACCUCAGCAGGGCAUCCAGGUCAGUUUCUGGAAGACUUGUGUGUGUGAUGAAUGAAUAUCUGGUUUUGUCUCUGCUGGGCCUGUGUGCCUGGAAAGGAAUUGUUUUGGCCUAGGAUCAUCCAGAUCAAUUAUGCAGCUACAGCCAAAACCAAGUUCUUUUUAUUGCAAUGGUAAUGAAAGGAGCCCCGUGUAAGUCACUGGAAGGUCACAUGUUCACAGACUGUCAGCUGUGGAGGGUUAUGUAACAGUGGUUAUGCAAUGCCACGUUAGAACUACAGCCCGAGCAGCAAAACAUUUAGAUA
rnacentral:lncRNA from 1 species